rnacentral:rRNA from 1 species
CUUUAAACACAAGUUUUAAGUUUGAAAGAUGCAAUUGCAUCACUCAAAGAUGAUCCCGCGUUGUAUUAGCUAGUUGGUGAGGUAAAGGCUCACCAAGGCGAUGAUACAUAGCCGACCUGAGAGGGUGAUCGGCCACAUUGGGACUGAGACACGGCCCAAACUCCUACGGGAGGCAGCAUUAGGGAUUCUUCGGCAAUGGACGAAAGUCUGACCGAGCAACGCCGCGUGAGUGAAGAAGGUUUUCGGAUCGUAAAACUCUGUUGGUAGAGAAGAACGUUGGUGAGAGUGGAAAGCUCAUCAAGUGACGGUAACUACCCAGAAAGGGACGGCUAACUACGUGCCAGCAGCCGCGGUAAUACGUAGGUCCCGAGCGUUGUCCGGAUUUAUUGGGCGUAAAGCGAGCGCAGGUGGUUUAUUAGUCUGGUGUAAAAGGCAGUGGCUCAACCAUUGUAUGCAUUGGAAACUGG